rnacentral:lncRNA from 1 species
AACUGCCUAUCUCCUCCAUUCAUACUCAUCCGGCUAUAGUUAAAACAUCAUCUCCCAAAUCAGACUUAUCUUUUUCAAUCAUUGCUUCACCUAGUUCCACUAACAUAUACAAUUAUUGCCAACAAUUUCAAUUACCUAAGAAGGUCACAACCCUACCCUCAAAGACAGAAUAUCCAUCUUCUACUCCGCUCCCAGAAUCCCCUUUCAUUUUCUCCCUCUCACUUGAUAAUGGAGCCCAACACCAUAAUAUACACAGCUCAGUCACCACAAACUCCCCUAACUCUAGCAUCUUGGUUAGAAAACAGGACUCCAG